rnacentral:pre_miRNA from 1 species
CGGGGGAGGCGGGAUCCUGGGCUGUGUCCGGGCGCCCUGUGCUCCGGGGCCUGCGCUGUUGGAUUCGCGCUCCCGCCCCGCAGCCCCCU